AAUUACUGUCGUCAUGCCUAUUUGGAUGGCCUAGCGCGAGACAAUGUGUCACUCACGCCGCCACGCGACGAAUACCGGUAACUCGAUAACCGAGUGCGAUCAGCUUUUGCUCUCUCAGUUCUGUAUGAUGCGUUCUCGGUUUUUUUUAUUGUUUUAUUUCGGUUGUUUUGCUGAUUCGAUUCGAUACCAAGUAUUUUUGUUUCGAUACCGAGUAUGUAUCGCAAAAUUGAUUCGAUACAAUAAAUACUUGGUAUCGGGUACCUACUCGUAUUUACUAGCAUCGGAUUAUCGUGAGAUCAUGAGAUCGCUCUUCCGACCUAGUUUGUUCGCGAACUACACAAGACUAUCAGUUUCUGUCUUUUGUGACUAUUUCUGCAAGUCGGUCGAAGAUCUUUGUAAUUUAGUUUUUACGCUUUGUAGCGUUUUGUAGAAUAGAUCUUAAAAAAAUUCUCACUUCACAAAAAAACUUGCCAUCAAUAGUGUAUGGUCAUUUGUGUAAAUCAGUUCAAAGAAUAGUUUUAAGACAUUUUUGUACUGUUUUAAACAUACUUUUGAGUAUUCACCUCUUCCGCUACCAGGACAAGAGCAUUUUGUUAGAAAUUCGCUGGUAAAAAAUACAUAGUUGAUAUGCGCAGUUUUAAGGUUAUUCCUGGUUGGCAUACGAUUACUAUUUAAUUAUUCUUCUUUCAUUUUGCCGUCGUUUAAUAUUGCCUCUAAAUUGGAUAGUUCUUCGGAAGUGUGUACGAGUUUUAAACAAAAUGUAGUAUUCUCUUGUGUUUUCUUCAAGCUGGUUAUUAUCAAGUUAUGUAAUAAUGAAAAUGAAAAGAAAGGGUUGUGCCUACCUCUAUUUCUAACACAGACUCUCAUUCUACGUCGCAGACCAGUCUUGACCACCUUACUUGUCAAUUGGGCCCUUAUUUGAUUUUUCGCAUCAAUAUUUUUUUCUUGCAGGAUACCACGGUUGGUAUAGGAUGGCAUUCUUGUACACAAUUGUUUUCAUAUGGCCCCACACAUAAAAAUCAAUUGGUUUCAAAUCCGAGGUUCUUGUUGCGGGCCAUGGUACGGGACUUCCUCUUCCUAUCCAUUAUUCUGAUGAUUUUGAUCACCUCUUCGAUAUUGCUCAGGGCAGCCAUCGUGUUGAAACCACAUGUUUCUUCUUACACUAAGGUAAAUCCUCCAUAAGCAAUAAUAGUUCGUUGAAAAUGUUCAUAAAACACGCCAUUUAAAUUAGCUAUACUUAUAAUCUCCCAUACAACAAACGUAAUUUUUUUGUCCGUUUUAUAAAUCGGUACGGAACUUGCUUCUUUAAUUGUUUUUCUCUUCUCUUGUCAACAUAUUGAUUGGAUGUUAACGCAAAUGUAGUUCGCUCAAUUUGGCGCCUUCCUUGUCGUUUGGAAAAAUCGGGCAACUUUUGUUUCAAUAAUUCUGUACUUACAUUAAAUAUAUUUCCAAAAUAUCUAUCAGGUGAUUAGUGAUCGAUACUGAUGCCAAAAAUGCAAUCAGUAAAAUUUUUGUCUGUCUGUAUGUUCGUUAGAGAAACAAAAACUACUCGACGGAUUUUAAUGAAACUUGGCACAAAUAUUCUUCAUACUCCUGGGCAGGUUGUAUAAUACUUUUCAUCACGCUACGAUUAAUAGGAGCAGAGCAGUGAAGAGAAAUGUUGGGAAAACGGGAAAAGUUACUCCAUUUUUUAAGCUUCCGUCGCGUGUGCAGCCUUAAUGGUUAAAGCUAUAUAGAAACCACGUAUGACGGAAAUGGUCUCCUUUAAAUUAUGUGAAAAAUAUCCCACGACAGUAUAUGUCUCUUAUGGUUGACUCACAAUAACACGUGUAACUUCCGAUUGCUAAGCAGUUCAGAGCUUUCUGAUUAUAUUUGUCUACUCUGACGUUUAUAACACUCUCACUCAUCCCAAUAGGCUAGGUAAGCAUAGAUUUAUAUAAUUGGAGAAGCUGGUGAUUAUUAUUUCUUCCUCUCUUUGCAUAAAGUCCAAAUCUAACGCGGACGAAGUCGCUGGCAGAAGCUAGUCAGGCAUAAAGUAUGGUCCAAUUAAAUACUUGUCGAUAAUGCCCAUCCACACAUUUAAACUGAACCUCCACUGAGAGCCUUUUACUCGCUUUUUAUUCGGGUUUCCUUCUGCUUUUGGUGCCCAGUAGUGAGCGUUAUGGUAAUUGGUUAUACCGUCCUUGUCAAAUUUGGACUCGUCAGUCCAUUUUUUUGACAUUGAGGAUUUUCAGUAUCGGCGUUCAACAUAAAUCGACAAAAAUCCAAUCUUCUCAAUGGUUCUGCACACAUUAUUACCAUGAUGCACUAUUUAAAGUGGAAUUUAACAAUUCAUGUGUUUGGAUUGUGUGAGUUUUUAAUUAGUAGGUAGAAAUUGGUGCAGAAGACUCCAGUCGGCAGUUCAACCCUGAUCUUCAACGGGGAAGACAACUGCAACGGGCGCUUGCUUGUUAAGAAGUUGUGGAGGGAACAAAAUGCUUGAUUUUUUUUUAUAAUAUAAAACAACGAACAUCAGUCCAUUGGUUUAUACGACUCUUUCUUUUCUUACCCGGAUCUUGCUUAAGGGUCCUUAUUCUGCUGACUGUGUAGUUAUUGGAUGUUUCUGGUUCAGAUGCUGAUGCUGAUAUCGAAGAAUUUACACUUGGAAUGUCACAAGGUUCUUGAACAUCGUUGUCACAAAAUUGUUCGGUUGGGCUUAUUGGGCAAUCAAAAUCUUGAAUAGAGUUAGGAGAUGGAACCGGAGUACAUUCAUUACUAUCAAAAAUAACGAUAUCAGAAUCAUUAUGAACAAUAUUUCCAUCAACUGCAUCAUUUUCAUUGUAAAUGUCAUUCAAAUAUCUCCACUCCUCGUCGGUGAAUUGACACUGCAUUAGAGAUUCUGAAAAUACAAAAAAAAUAAAAUAAUAAUACAACAUAAUAUCGAAAAUGCAGGGCUAUUACACUGUCGUAGUAAAGUAUCGAAAGUGGUACAUUCGAUAGUCAUAGCAGAAAAAAGUAGUUUUUCAAAUCGAACCAGUAGUUCCUGAGAUUAGCGCGUUCAAACAAACAAACAAACUCUUCAGCUUUAUAAUAUUAGUAUAGAUUAAAUAAUUACUUACCUAUCUGGUUCUUUACAUCAGGAGCAAAAUUAUCAUAGUCUGGAAAUAAAAUUUUGGCAAUUUGCUCCCACGCUUUUA